rnacentral:lncRNA from 1 species
AUUCAUACACAAAUAUCCAUAAAAAUUAUGCAAAACAAUGAACCAAUCAAUUCCAAAACAUUCCAUUCAAUUCUUCAAUUCUAUACCAUUCCAAAAGAUAAAAGAAAAGGAAUGAAUUUUAAACCAUUCUAAACCAUUCUAUACAAUUCCAAAACAUACCAUCAAUUCCAUACCAUUCCAAUUUUCAUACAAUUCAUGUCAUUUAAAACAAAACUAAACGAAAAGAUAAAUAAAUAGGAACCUAUUUGUUAGUGUCGGUCAUGCUCUUAGUCGCGCUAUUCGUCCCACUUUUAGUCGGACUUUUAGUCGCUUUUUUGCCAACAUUUUCGACAUUUGAAUCUCUUGUAGUAGGCGUGAUUAUGUUGUCGUGUUCUUGGCUCGACUGACCCUAAUGUAAAAAAAAUUUGAAAUUACAAAGAAAAUAUGAAUAUUGAUUUAUAUAUAAAUGCUAAUUACCUCAAUCGUCUCUCGACGUAAGUCUUCCCUUAGUUCCUUUAGUAUAUCCGGCAUCUGUUUUCUAAUGGCCUCUUGAACUGCCCGAUCAAAGUCUUCUUUACUUUUUUGUUGUUGAAUUUCUAUAUAAUUCGUCGUCGUGUUCUGUGAAGUCGCCAUAUUAUCAGGAAUUUUAAACCAAUACAAUUAGUUUUUAAACCAAUACAAUUUUAAAGCUAAGGAUUUUCCCAUGGAAUUAAUAAAAUGUCCAAUAAAACAACAUGGGAAUUAAUAUAAGUACAUCUAUUAUAAGAUUUCCAAAUAACAGAGAAAUCUUUGGGGAAAAUAUGGACAUGUGCUAUUUGAGAAAUCUUCCAAAUAACUGAAUACGUAUUGUAUUGGGGAAAUUGUUGUAUUUUUUACUAGAUUAAUACUGAAUACGUACUGAUCAUAAAAAUAUAUUGAUCUACAGACCAAAAUCCGUGGCUAAAUCCUUGAAACAGAGUGGAAAGUGAAGGGCCACGGCCAAAAUCCGUGGCUAAUCCUUAUCUGGCCGUGGCUAAAUCCUUGAAACAGAGUGGAAAGUGAAGGGCCACGGCCAAAAUCCGUGGCUAAUCCUUAAGUGGCCGUGGCUAAAUCCUUGAAACAGAGUGGAAAGUGAAGGGCCACGGCCAAAAUCCGUGGCUAAUCCUUAACUGGCCGUGGCUAAAUCCUUGAAACAGAGUGGAAAGUGAAGGGCCAUGGCCAAAAUCCGUGGCUAAUCCUUAAUUGGCCGUGGCUAAAUCCUUGAAACAGAGUGGAAAGUGAAGGGCCACGGCCAAAAUCCGUGGCUAAUCCUUAAGUGGCCGUGGCUAAAUCCUUGAAACAGAGUGGAAAGUGAAGGGCCACGGCCAAAAUCCGUGGCUAAUCCUUAAGUGGCCGUGGCUAAAUCCUUGAAACAGAGUGGAAAGUGAAGGGCCACAGCCAAAAUCCGUGGCUAAUCCUUAAGUGGCCGUGGCUAAAUCCUUGAAACAGAGUGGAAAGUGAAGGGCCACGGCCAAAAUCCGUGGCUAAUCCUUAAAGGCCGUGGCUAAUUUCUAAAAUAUUUAUAGGAAAUAUUUACAUUUUAGAAGACGCCUAUUGAAGGUCUUACACAUUCGUAUAACCUGAAAAAAACAUUCAAACAUAUAUUCAUACACAUUUCAUUCAUACACAUUCUAUUCAUACACAUUCCAUUCAUACACAUUGCAUUCAUACACAUUCCAUUCAUACACAUUCCAUUCAUACACAUUCCAUUCAUACACAUUCCAUUCAUACACAUUCCAUUCAUACACAUUCUAUUCAUACACAUUCCAUUCAUACACAUUCCAUUCAUACACAUUCCAUUCAUACACAAAUAUCCAUAAAAAUUAUGCAAAACAAUGAACCAAUCAAUUCCAAAACAUUUCAUUCAAUUCUUCAAUUCUAUACCAUUCCAAAAGAUAAAAGAAAAGGAAUGAAUUCUAAACCAUUCUAAACCAUUCUAUACAAUUCCAAAACAUACCAUCAUUUCCAUACCAUUCCAAUUUUCAUACAAUUCAUGUCAUUUAAAACAAAACUAAACGAAAAGAUAAAUAAAGAGGAACCUAUUUGUUAGUGUCGGUCAUGCUCUUAGUCGCGCUAUUCGUCCCACUUUUAGUCGGACUUUUAGUCGCUUUUUUGCCAACAUUUUCGACAUUUGAAUCUCUUGUAGUAGGCGUGAUUAUGUUGUCGUGUUCUUGGCUCGACUGACCCUAAUGUAAAAAAAAAUUGAAAUUACAAAGAAAAUAUGAAUAUUGAUUUAUAUAUAAAUGCUAAUUACCUCAAUCGUCCCUCGACGUAAGUCUUCCCUUAGUUCCUUUAGUAUAUCCGGCAUCUGUUUUCUAAUGGCCUCUUGAACUGCCCGAUCAAAGUCUUCUUUACUUUUUUGUUGUUGAAUUUCUAUAUAAUUCGUCGUUGUGUUCUGUAAAGUCGCCAUAUUAUCAGGAAUUUUAAACCAAUACAAUUAGUUUUUAAACCAAUACAAUUUUAAAGCUAAGGAUUUUC